CGCGGUAAUACGUAGGGCGCGAGCGUUGUCCGGAAUUAUUGGGCGUAAAGAGCUCGUAGGCGGCUGGUCGCGUCUGUCGUGAAAUCCUCUGGCUUAACUGGGGGCUUGCGGUGGGUACGGGCCGGCUUGAGUGCGGUAGGGGAGACUGGAACUCCUGGUGUAGCGGUGGAAUGCGCAGAUAUCAGGAGGAACACCGGUGGCGAAGGCGGGUCUCUGGGCCGUUACUGACGCUGAGGAGCGAAAGCGUGGGGAGCGAACAGGAUUAGAUACCCUGGUAGUCCACGCUGUAAACGUUGGGCACUAGGUGUGGGGGGCCUUUUCCGGGUUUUCCGCGCCGUAGCUAACGCAUUAAGUGCCCCGCCUGGGGAGUACGGCCGCAAGGCUAAAACUCAAAGGAAUUGACGGGGGCCCGCACAAGCGGCGGAGCAUGCGGAUUAAUUCGAUGCAACGCGAAGAACCUUACCAAGGCUUGACAUGUGCCGGAUGGCUCCGGAGACGGGGUUUCCUCUCCUUUGUGGGGGGCUGGUUCACAGGUGGUGCAUGGUUGUCGUCAGCUCGUGUCGUGAGAUGUUGGGUUAAGUCCCGCAACGAGCGCAACCCUUGUCUCGUGUUGCCAGCACGUUGUGGUGGGGACUCGCGGGAGACUGCCGGGGUUAACUCGGAGGAAGGUGGGGAUGACGUCAAAUCAUCAUGCCCCUUAUGUCUUGGGCUUCACGCAUGCUACAAUGGCCGGUACAGAGGGCUGCGAUACCGUGAGGUGGAGCGAAUCCCUUAAAGCCGGUCUCAGUUCGGAUCGGUGUCUGCAACUCGACACCGUGAAGUUGGAGUCGCUAGUAAUCGCAGAUCAGCAACGCUGCGGUGAAUACGUUCUCGGGCCUUGUACACACCGCCCGUCACGUCAUGAAAGUCGGCAACACCCGAAGCCCGUGGCCCUACGGGGAGCGGUCGAAGGUGGGGCUGGUGAUUGGGACGAAGUCGUAACAAGGUAGCCGUACCGGAAGGUGCGGCUG
rnacentral:rRNA from 1 species